GGGCGGUUGGCGCAGCGGUAGCGCGCUUCCCUGACACGGAAGAGGUCACUGGUUCGAUCCCAGUAUCGCCCA
rnacentral:tRNA from 1 species